rnacentral:lncRNA from 1 species
GAAAAAGCUAAUACUGGACUAGCUUAAACCAUGGCUCUAAAUCAAAAAGAUUUUUACCCCUGCUACAGUAGGAAAUGGAGACAUUCAACAUUCCUAAACAGAAAGGCCUUUUACAGAUUAUAGACCUGCACUCUGAGAUGGAAAAACUUGAAAAUACCAGAGCCUUCUUCUCUUCUGACUUAUGAUUUCACAUUUAAAUGAAAACUCUGCAUAGAGAUUCCAGAGAGAUACGUAGUUAUCAACUACUGGGCUGUGUUUCCUUUAGAAGAUGUGUCACUAAUGAAGGUGGAAAGGUCAGUACACAGCAAAAGGCCAUU